rnacentral:lncRNA from 1 species
UCUUUGCAUAGUUUAUUUUACAGAUAUAGAAGCUUACAAUGCAUGCAAUGGCUAGAAAAGGAGAGUGCAUUUAUUAUUUUUUAGGUGUAGAAAUUGAAAAUUUGAGAGGCUUGAUGGGCUAGUAUUUGGAAAGUGAGGCUUAAGUGUUUGCAUUAUAAUUCUAAUAGUUAUGUCGCCUCUUAAUAAUUUGAGAUUUCACUUGGAGAGCAGGAAAAGAAAUCAUGUUAAGUUUGGGUUUUGAGGAUUGCUUUAUCACGAUCAGCCUAGUGGCAUGAUUGGUAGAUUAUCCAAUACAUUCAUCUUUUCAUAGCUCAUGAUCAUAUUGCCUCAUUUGAACGGUAUGAUUCAUUAGUUGCAUGCAUUGUGGAUAGAUCAUACCACCUCAUUUGUGUUUUAUUGUCAUUUUUUUAUAUAUAAUUCAUGUUGCCCAAGAUGACAACCCAAUGAGGUGGAUGAAUUGGGUUUUCCAAUUUUUUUUUUACAAACUUAAACAAUGCUUAAGUAAAACUAAUUUAAACAUCAUUGUGCAAUGUGAGAGUGAUGUAAAAUAAGUAUGCAUAACAAAACGAAGGUAAAUAAAUGCACAAGAUAAGAAUAAGUACAAGCAACUCAAAGACAAAUUUAUAGUGAUUCGGAGCCAAACUCAGCUCCUACAUCUACUCUCCAGGGUUGUCUUUUGGGAAUUCUACUAUAAUCUAUAAAUAAGAUUACAGCUUUGUUGUUUUCUAGGUUUACAACCAAAUCCAAUUGAUUUUUCUUGGCAAUCAAUCAAAACCAAGCUGUUUUGCUGGGAUGGCUAGAACAACCCCAAGUUCCAACACCUACGAACUCUUUAUUGACUUCCAAAUUUAGUGAAAUCUAGUCGAUUUUCUAGGGUAAUCGAUCACAACCUAGCUGUUUUUCGGAUACAGCCAAAUUUUACGAGGCAACUGAUUUUUCCUGAAUCUUGUAUAAUAUAACAUCUACAG